GUCCGGAAUUGUUCGUUUUAGUAUUGUCGCAUUACAUCCAGUUUGAAUUUCCACUUCAGAAUUGAAAGAAACGUAAGCGAUGACUGAGAAAAUUACGAUUUUGAGUCAUUAAAAUCAUUUUAUUCUUAAACUGUUGCCUUCCCUUAAUUGCUCUUGAUCGAUUUUAGGAAAAUGGUAGGACAAAUCAUGAAGUAAACGCGAUGCAACAGUUAAACAAGUUCGUUGAUGCUACGAGUAGGUGCAUACUCAUGCAGUAAUGAGAUUUUGACAAUCUGUUUUUGAAAAGGGGC
rnacentral:lncRNA from 1 species